rnacentral:rRNA from 1 species
GACGAACGCUGGCGGCGUGCCUAAUACAUGCAAGUAGAACGCUGAAGAGAGGAGCUUGCUCUUCUUGGAUGAGUUGCGAACGGGUGAGUAACGCGUAGGUAACCUGCCUUGUAGCGGGGGAUAACUAUUGGAAACGAUAGCUAAUACCGCAUAACAAUGGAUGACACAUGUCAUUUAUUUGAAAGGGGCAAUUGCUCCACUACAAGAUGGGCCUGCGUUGUAUUAGCUAGUAGGUGAGGUAAUGGCUCACCUAGGCGACGAUACAUAGCCGACCUGAGAGGGUGAUCGGCCACACUGGGACUGAGACACGGCCCAGACUCCUACGGGAGGCAGCAGUAGGGAAUCUUCGGCAAUGGUGGCAACCCUGACCGAGCAACGCCGCGUGAGUGAAGAAGGUUUUCGGAUCGUAAAGCUCUGUUGUAAGUCAAGAACGGGUGUGAGAGUGGAAAGUUCACACUGUGACGGUAGCUUACCAGAAAGGGACGGCUAACUACGUG